CAGGGCAACUGCUCCUUCUCACCAUCCUGACCUGUCCUUCCCAAAGAGCCUGUAUCCAGCCUUUGCAGUACUCCGGAGAUUUCAAAAUUCAGGCUCCAUCUACUGAAGAAUUCAAAGUUACAAGAGUGUAUUUUUAGAAAAUUGUGGACUUCUACUCAGCGUACCAGACUCCAUUACAGCACUGCUAAGAAAUCGCUUGGAACAAGGGUCAUCCCAAAACAAAAGCAAUUCAAGCAGCCUAUCUGAGAGGAAGAUGAGGAAGGAAGGAAGGAGGCUUACUUCAUCUUCUGCACUGCCAAUCAUUUUACAUCGUCCCAGAUUAUGCAAUAUACCAUAGCAGGGACUGUGAAGCAUGGGUUCAUCAGGAAAGGGCACAUUCAUUAGUGCUGCUGCCACGUGUGGUCUCAGAUGUCUGAGGUAGAAAGGUCACAGCCAGAGACUUCACAGCAUCACCAUCGGGCCUCAGUCCACACCCACUCCUGGUUAUCCAGGGUUAUGAGGAAAGAGGUUAAACGCUUUCA